GUCUUUCUCAAGGAUGAGCGAUCCUAACCCUAAAAGGCGCCUGCUUGUAAUGGGUAAGCGUCUGAAACAUGCGUUUUAGACCUAAUCGAAGCAACCUUAAUGAGAGAUCCAAGAGAAGAUCCAAGAGAAGUCAUUGUAGUAUACAAAGAAGGUGUUCAACCAGGAGAAGUCAUUGUAGUAUACAAAGAAGGUGUUGAAUCACUCUGUCUAAUGUCACACACACAACCCAAAGCUCAUGAGAGAAGUCAAUCCAGUAGAAGUAAGGCCGUCGGAUGAGCGAUACUCGAUCGGCGACCCUCUUGUACUGGGUAAUCGAAGCAACCUACAUGAGAGAUCCAUGAGAAGUCAUUUUUUAAGAAGUCAAACUAAAGAAAGGUCUAAGCAUCCGAUCAUGUACAUGGUCCCAGCUUCAACGGGUCUGUCAGUAAUUUCCUUAGCACAUAGAGACCGGUUUAUGGAUGAAAGAUUACUUGGUGUGGUCUUUCAUUUGAUCAUCCUGACCCUGCUUCACAUAGACACAAGGAAUAGAUCAGAUAAGUUAAACUUUCAAUUUUCUUCCUCAUUCUGCAAAUCAAAUCAUAUCAAUUUGGAAACUGCUCACAACUACGAUCCUCAUUAGAAGAUCAGAAAAGUGAAAUUCAAACUGAUUUUAUUUUUUGUUUGGUAUAAAAAUGAGGAUUCAGAUUAUUUUCUAAAUUAUGAUCUAAAUCAUUAUAUAGAUGUUUUUGAAUAUUGAUCAACUUGAAAAACCAUGAUACUAAAUAGGAAGCUAGAAUUUUGUCAAUCACAAUCUCAAGUUAAAAUUGAGUUUUUUUUUUCGGUUUGGUAGGAGAUCUUUUGUUUCUUUUGGUAUGGUAGGAGAUCAUUUUCUACAUCGCGAUCAAAACUACAGUGUAAUGUUUGUUUAUUUAGUAUAGAGAUUUUGUAUUAUUGGAUCAUGAUUAUACUUAUUUUUUGGAUACAAAAAGAGCCCAUUAAUAUACAGACCUUGAAAAGGAAAUUGCACAGCCAAAAUCCUUUGCAAGAAGGUUGAAUUGCGAUCCUCGCACCAAUUCCAGUUAUAUAAAAAGAUUAUUUACAAAGUUGAGAAUAAGGUAAAUAAUGUUACCUUCUUAUAAUUCUUUAUCAAGUGUGUAAAGUCUUAGUAGCCUUCUCUCUGGAAGUUUGAUGAGAUGACAUUAAAGUGACACAUGGAUCUCAUGCAACGAAAAAUCAGGUAACAACAAUCUGAAUUGAAUUAUUGUGAAUUGAAAUCUCAAACUCUCUACCUGUAAGCUGUCCUGGAAAACCAAAUUGAAUUAUUGCAAUUUGGCAUUUAAAUUGAUGAUAAUCUUAGGUUCACAUGUUUGAAUAAUUAUAAAGUAUAAAAGCGUUUCAAAUUGGAAUCCUAUUGAAAAAACAUAUUGAUUGAAAACAAGUUAUAUAUUGAAUUUAAUAACUCCUGUUGAAUGUGACCUGGUGAUAGUCACCCCUGAUUCGGGCGUUGCUGCUGCUCUAGGCUUCGUAGCCAAAGCAUGAGUUGCGUUUCAGCAGGGUUUGAUAAGAUCACAAUUGAUGAUAAUCAUAGGUUCACAUUAUUGAAUAAUUAUAAAGUAUAAAAGUGUUUCAAAUUGAAAUCCUAUUUAAAAAAGCAUCUUGAUUGAAAACAAACUUUAUAUUGAAUUUAAUAACUACUGGCCACAUAAUCCCCAGUCGAAUGCGACCUGGUGAUAGCCGUCCCUGAUUCGUGAGCUGUCGCUUCUCCAGGCUUCACAGCUAAAGCAGGAGUUGCGUUUCAGCAGGGUUUGAUAAGAUCACACUACACUGCCAGUGUUGUUCCUAAAAGAGCAUCGGAUGAGCGGUCCUUGAUAUCGGCAGAUGCUGGGUGACGACUUCAGAAGAUGAAAACCUACAGUAAGGUCAUCCCUAAAAGGUAUUCUAAGGAGUGGUGGUUCGGAUAUGAUAUUAAUAUUAGGAUUUUGGGGAUCAUUGGGCAGGGAAGCUGCUACAAAAUGAGUGGUGAUUUAUGCAACAAAGACAUUACAGUGAAAAUAAAAUGGAAAGACAAUUAAUUGAUUGAGAAUUGUCAUUCCAAUAUGAUGUUAUUUAUUAUGAAUUGUGAGAUAGGGAUCCUAACUUAGACUCUUAGUCCGACUUCUUGCUUCAAAGCCUCCAUUCUUCUGCCCAAAAGAAAACACUUUUGUAUUGAGAAUUUGGGAUCAGGUUCAUAUGAGAUGUAUACUUUGUUUGAUUCACUAGAAAUAUUGUAUAUUAAUCA